AUUGAACGCUGGCGGCAGGCCUAACACAUGCAAGUCGAACGAGUGGCGGACGGGUGAGUAAUGUCUGGGAAACUGCCUGAUGGAGGGGGCUAACUACGGGAAACGGUAGCUAAUACCGCAUACCCUCAGAUGUGCACAGAUGGGAUUAGCUGGUUGGUGGGGUAAUGGCUCACCAAGGAGACGAUCCCUAGCUGGUCUGAGAGGAUGACCAGCAACACUGGAACUGAGACACGUGCCAGACUCCUACGUGAGGCAGCAGUGGGAAAUAUUGCACAAUGGGCGCAAGCCUGAUGCAGCCAUGCCGCGUGUAUGAAGAAGGCCUUCGGGUUGUAAAGUACUUUCAGCGGGGAGGCGUUACCCGCAGAAGAAGCACCGGCUAACUCCGUGCCAGCAGCCGCGGUAAUAC
rnacentral:rRNA from 1 species